GGAAGGUUGGGGUGGACGGGCUCCUCGCCAACCCGGUCAGGUCCGGAAGGAAGCAGCCGUAACGAGUUUUGGUCUGGGUCGCUUUCCAACCUUCCGCU
rnacentral:SRP_RNA from 1 species